rnacentral:rRNA from 1 species
CCUACGGGAGGCAGCAGUGGGGAAUAUUGGGCAAUGGGCGCAAGCCUGACCCAGCAACGCCGCGUGAAGGAAGAAGGCUCUCGGGUUGUAAACUUCUUUUCUCAGGGACGAAGCAAGUGACGGUACCUGACGAAUAAGCCACGGCUAACUACGUGCCAGCAGCCGCGGUAAUACGUAGGUGGCAAGCGUUAUCCGGAUUUAUUGGGUGUAAAGGGCGUGUAGGCGGGAAAGCAAGUCAGAUGUGAAAAGCCGGGGCCCAACCCCGGGCCUGCAUUUGAAACUGUUUGACUGGAGUACAGGAGAGGCAGGCGGAAUUCCUAGUGUAGCGGUGAAAUGCGUAGAUAUUAGGAGGAACACCAGUGGCGAAGGCGGUCUGCUGGACAGUAACUGACGCUGAGGCGCGAAGGCGUGGGGAGCAAACAGGAUUAGAUACCCCAGUAGUC